UACGUAGGGAGCAAGCGUUGUUCGGAUUUACUGGGCGUAAAGGGCGCGUAGGCGGCGCGGUAAGUCACUUGUGAAAUCUCUGAGCUUAACUCAGAACGGCCAAGUGAUACUGCAGUGCUAGAGUGCAGAAAGGGCAAUCGGAAUUCUUGGUGUAGCGGUGAAAUGCGUAGAUAUCAGGAGGAACACCGGUGGCGAAGGCGGCUCUCUGGACGGUGACUGACGCUGAGACGCGAAAGCGUGGGGAGCAAACAGG
rnacentral:rRNA from 1 species